AAGUAAGCAAUAUUCAAUGCGAAAAAUUAUUUGAAUUCCUUUAGUAAGCCCCAACCUAUGCUACAUGUCGUGUAAACCAAAAAAUUAGAACGAUGUAAAAACAGAGGUAUAGAAGAGAUGCUUGCUUAUUUGCUUAACUUUUUUGUCUUAUAGAAUUUGGUUAAUUAAAUUAAUUUAACGAUUUACAAGUUUCGAGAAGACUGAUGGAAUGUUCAAGCACUUGACUUUUCAGAAUGGCAUAUUUCACAAAAAAGAAUUGAAAAGAAUAAAAUUUACGAGUUUUAAGAUUCGUUUCUAAUAAAAUUUAAUUAAAACAUGUUACUAGAACAUAAGGAACAGUGGAAGUUGAAAAGUAGAAAAAGAACUUUUUC